ensembl:snoRNA
AUCCUUUUAUAGUUCAUAAGCGUGAUGAUUAAGUGUUCAUGCUCUUGUGAGAUGUGUGUCCCUCAAACCUGGUUAUGACAUCGGCGCAUUACCUGUCUGACG